UUUCCCCGUAGGGUGAACCCCUGCGGAAAGGAUCAUUUGUCGAAACU
rnacentral:rRNA from 1 species